AUGGCGCUCCUCAUCCGCGCGCCGCUCACCUCCUUCGACGACUCCGGCGACGAAGACGAGGGGUACGCCUCCUCGCUCUCCUCCGGCGCCGCGUCCCCGUCCCGCUCGCCCUCGACCUCGCCCCCCGAGGCCCCGCGCCCGCGCCCCGUCCUCGGCGCGCCGCGGGUGGCGGCGCAGCUCUCCUCCUCCACGGACGACGAGGCCGACCUGUUCGACGACGCCGCCGGCUCGUCCGGGGACGAGGUGCUCCAGGAGGUCUCCAACGGCUUCUUCCGCGUCGCCAGGGUGCCCCCGCCGCCGCCCUCCCCCUCCUCCGACGAGGCCACGGCCCCUUCGCCCCCCGCUUCCGCGUCCUCCGGGGAGAGCGAGUACUUCGGCGCGGCGGAGGGGGCCGAGGAGGAGGAGGCCGCCGCCGACGUGUUCGUCGACGCCGGAGCGGGGAGCGGGCUGGAGGAGGAUGGCGGCGUCUUUGCGGCCUCCGCGGGCGCGCUCGCCGAGGGCUCGCUGGAUGGGAGCUUCGUCAGCUCUAUGAGCGUGCUGGACGACGGCGCCGCGUUCGCUGAUUUGGUAAAUCUCUCGGAUAUGUCCUUGAUGAAUGGUGGUAAACAGGGAGCUGAGGAUUCUGGUGCUGAGGCUGUCAAUGGUGUGGAGCCUGAGCAUUCCAUUGGUGACGCUGGUGGCGCGCGCAUUGUGGAUGCUUCAGAGGGGGACGCUGGUGGCAUGAGCAUUGUGGAUGCUUCAAAGGGGGAUGCUGGGGGGUCUCACCAGGAGCAAGUUGUCGUGGAAUUGCCUCCUGCACUGAAUUCUACUCAAGAAGAAGAAGAUGCUGGUCUUGAAGUUCUCCAUGAUGACUCUGAUGCAAAAGAUACCACACCAAAGCAUGGGGUUGCUGAAUUGCAUCAUGUGGUGAGUUCUACAGAAGCAGAAGAUGCUGGUGCUGAAGUUCGCAAUGCUGACUCUGAUGUGAAAGAUACCACGCCCAGGCAUGAGGUUGUCACACAUUCUGAAGGUGCCAGUCCUGAACAUAUUGCCGCAAGAGAUGCCCCAGUUGUGCCUGCGGAAGUUCAUACCAAUGUUGAUAGCUCACAGUUUACUGUUGACGCGGCUCAUCACAAGGUAGAUGGUGAAACUGAUGGUGAUCAUGAACCUUCUGACGAACCUGCAUCUGCACCGAUCAUCGGGACAAACAAUGCUUUGGGAUCUCCUGGAAAAGAAAUGGAGGACAAUGUGCCUGCCUCCAAGGGCGCACGCCUUGGUUUGGAUGAUUCAGAUGAGGAUCAGCUGGAUAACGAUUAUGAAGUUGAGGAGUUGAGCGGAAAGGAGACCGAGCUUUUUGAUUAUGCAGCUUUAGCUGAGCUUCUGAGGGCGGCAAACAGAUCACCUGCACAGGGCAAGGCCAAGGUGUUUCCAGUUGAAACCUCUGAUCCCAUCCAACCGUCUCCUACCGUGUUCGGUGUCCCUAGGACAAGUGCGGCUUCUACUCAUGCGGUGGAUGCAGUUGCUGACCCGGAGAGCACGAUGACUGAUGAGGAGAAGAAGUUGUACAUAAAGGUGGACAUGGCACGAAUCAAGUAUCUGCGUCUUGUGUAUAGAUUAGGGUAUGACACCGAACAUCAGGUACCUGUACAAGUGUUAUAUCGGCUCAGUCUCAUUGAAGGCUUCAGGCGCAUAAGGAUGGCAAACCAUUCCUCCGAGCUUGAGAAUGCCUGGAGCAGGGCUUUGCAGCUUGAGACAGAGGGAACAGAUGACUUUGAAUUCUCCUGCAAUGUAUUGGUCCUUGGAAAAACAGGGGUGGGAAAGAGUGCAACAAUAAACUCCAUAUUUGGCGAGGAUAAAUCCAGAACAAAUGCUUUUCUACCAGCAACAUGUUCCGUGAAGGAGAUUACUGGAGUUGUUGGUGGUGUUAAAUUUCGUGUCAUUGACACUCCAGGACUUGGGACUGCAGUUAGGGAUGGAAAAUCAAACAGGAAAAUGCUCAAGUCUGUUAAGAAGUAUAUCAAGAAAUGCCCCCCUGACAUUGUUUUGUAUGUUGAUCGGAUCGAUACCCAACGGCAAGGUGCAGACGACCUAUCCCUAUUGCAAUGCAUUACCAGUGUCCUAGGCCUGCCAAUAUGGUCGAAAGCCAUUAUCACUCUUACUCACUCAGCAGCAGAUCCUCUUCCUGAAGGACCUAGUGGCUCCCCAAUUAACUAUGAGAUGAUUGUGACCCAUCGGACUCAUGCGCUUCAGCAAAGCAUCAGACAGACCACUAAUGAUGCUCGGAUUGAGAAUCCAGUCGCUCUUGUGGAAAAUCAUCACCUUUGUCGGAGGAACAUGGAGGGUGAAAAGGUGCUUCCUAAUGGCCUUAUCUGGAAGCGCCUGCUCCUCCUCCUGUGCUACUCACUGAAGAUGGUUGCUGAGAUUGAUACUCUUUCAACCCGCCGUGCUGCUUCUCCAAGACUCUUUGAUCUCCGUCUCCAGGUGCCUCCACUUCCUUACUUCUUAUCAUCUUUGUUGCAAUCUAGAGAGCACCCCAGGCGUGCAAAUGAACAGAAGGUUGAGAGUGUGGACUCAGAUGUUGAUCCUGAUGAAUUGUUGAAUGACGAUCAAGAGGAUGAAGAGUAUGACCAACUUCCUCCCUUUAAGCCAUUAAGUAAAUCACAGGUUGCAAAACUCUCCAAAGAGCAGCAGAAACUGUAUUUCGAUGAGUAUGACUACCGAACCAAGCUUCUUCAGAAGAAGCAGUUGAAGGAACAGCGCAGAAGAUUGAAGGAAAUGAAGGAGAGUGAGGGCAAUGAUUAUGAUAUACAUGUGGAGAAUGAUCAUCCUGAUGACGAGUAUGACAAUGAUAGAUCUCUUAUGCCAGACUGGGCCUUGCCAUCUUCGUUUGAUUCCGACGAUCCAGUAUACCGCUAUCGGUGUCUUGAGCCUGCAACGAACCUUCUGGCACGUGCUGUUACCAACCCUGAAGGAUGGGAUCAUGACUGUGGGUUUGACGGUGUGAGCCUCCAAUACAACCAUGAAGUUGCCAAAGCAUUUCCAGCUUCUAUGUGGGUCCAAGUUAACAAGGACAAGAGGGAAUUCACCAUUCAUUCGGAGUCCUCGAUAUCAGCCAAGCAUAGCGAGUAUGCUUCAACCCUUGCAGGCUUUGACAUACAAACCAUGAUGGACCAGCUUGCUUACACUCUCAGGGGGGAAACCAAGUUCAGGAACACCAAGAAUAAUGCCACUACUGGAGGUCUGUCCAUGACUUUAGCAGGAAACACCAUGAUAACUGGAGCAAAGCUUGAAGACAAGCUUUCAGUUGGUAAUUGGUUAACACUGGUAGCAAACGCUGGUGCUGUGUCCAUGAAAGGUGAUACUGCGCAUGGAGUGAAUGUGGUGCUGAACCUGCUUCAAAAAGACUAUCCCAUUAUGGGCCUAGGCCUUGCAACUUUGGGUGCAUCACUGGUAAGGUGGCAUAAAGAAUGGACUACGGCUGCAAACUUGGAUACCCAGUUCCCCGUGGGAAGGACUUCAAACAUGGCAGUUCAUGUUGAUGUGAACAACAAGCUAACUGGACGAGUGAGCAUCAAGGCCAACAGUUCAGAGCAUCUGACGAUUGCUCUGUUAGGUGUCUAUUCGAUGGCAAUGUAUGUGUGGAAAAGGAUGCAUCCUCGUGCAGAUCCGAAUAAUGAGUAG
rnacentral:rRNA from 1 species